rnacentral:snRNA from 1 species
GUGCUCGCUUCGGCAGCACAUAUACUAAAACUGGAACGAUACGGAGAUUAGCAUGGCCCCUGCGCAAGGAGGACACGCAAAUUCAUGAAGCGUUCCACAUUAAA